rnacentral:rRNA from 1 species
AUUGAACGCUGGCGGCAGGCUUAACACAUGCAAGUCGAGCGGGGUGAUGGUGCUUGCACUAUCACUCAGCGGCGGACGGGUGAGUAAUGCUUAGGAAUCUGCCUAUUAGUGGGGGACAACAUCUCGAAAGGGAUGCUAAUACCGCAUACGUCCUACGGGAGAAAGCAGGGGAUCACUUGUGACCUUGCGCUAAUAGAUGAGCCUAGGUCGGAUUAGCUAGUUGGUGGGGUAAAGGCCUACCGAGGCGACGAUCUGUAGCGGGUCUGAGAGGAGGAUCCGCCACACUGGGACUGAGACACGGCCCAGAGUCCUACGGGAGGCAGCAGUGGGGAAUAUUGGACGAUGGGGGGAACCCUGAUCCAGCCAUGCCGCGUGUGUGAAGAAGGCCUUAUGGUUGUAAAGCACUUUAAGCGAGGAGGAGGCUCUUUUGGUUAAUACCCAAGAUGAGUGGACGUUACUCGCAGAAUAAGCACCGGCUAACUCUGUGCCAGCCGCCGCCGUAA